GAUCCUGGCUCAGGAUGAACGCUAGCUACAGGCUUAACACAUGCAAGUCGAGGGGCAUCAGGGUGUAGCAAUACACCGCUGGCGACCGGCGCACGGGUGAGUAACACGUAUCCAACCUGCCCUUUACUCGGGGGACAGCCUUUCGAAAGAAAGAUUAAUACCCGAUGGUAUAACAUGACCUCCUGGUUUUGUUAUUAAAGAAUUUCGGUAGAGGAUGGGGAUGCGUUCCAUUAGGCAGUUGGCGGGGUAACGGCCC
rnacentral:rRNA from 1 species